AUUGAACGCUGGCGGAAUGCUUUACACAUGCAAGUCGAACGGCAGCACGGGGGCAACCCUGGUGGCGAGUGGCGAACGGGUGAGUAAUACAUCGGAACGUGCCCAGUCGUGGGGGAUAACGUAGCGAAAGCUACGCUAAUACCGCAUAAGAUCUACGGAUGAAAGCGGGGGACCGUAAGUCCUCGCUCGAUUGGAGCGGCCGAGGUCAGAUUAGGUAGUUGGUGAGGUAGAGACUCACCAAGGCGACGAUCUGUAGCUGGUUUGAGAGGACGACCAGCCACACUGGGACUGAGACACGGCACAGACUCCUACGGGAGGCAGCAGGGGGGAAUUUUGGACAAUGGGCGCAAGCCUGAUCCAGCCAUUCCGCGUGCAGGACGAAGGCCUUCGGGUUGUAAACUGCUUUUGUACGGAACGAAAAGGCUCUGGUUAAUACCUGGGGCUCAUGACGGUACCGUAAGAAUAAGCACCGGCUAACUACGUGCCAGCCGCCGCGGUAA
rnacentral:rRNA from 1 species